UUUGCGGUCAGAUUGUUGUGUGACGUUUUAUGUGGAAAGUUGCGACUGUAAACUGAACCGGUCACUCAGUGGUUGACAGCUUCACAAUGUUAGAAUGAAGUGCUUCCCGCCAUUGCGCUGUCCUAUAGAGUCCAGGACAGUGUUGCUCACAUGUCCUGAUGUCGUCCCACGGUGCUCUCGCUACUUACCUGCUGCGGCUUCCGAACCGAACGCCUGGUCGCUUUCUGGAGUGGCAAGACGUCAGCGCCGGUGAGCCAGGGGAGGGAGAGGUCUGCUUGCUGGCGUAGUGAUGUAAUGUUUCAUGCACUAUGCACACCAGGAAGGUCGGCGUGUCUUGUAGUCCGUUCGUGCGCUACGCGCAUCGGGAGGCUGUGAAGUGCUGCGGCUGUUUGUAGAUUGCUGUAUAAAGUGGGUAUUGUGGUUAGACGCGUUUCGAGAUCGGCUGGAUCAGAAAUUUUAACAAGAAGUAUCCUGCAAGUAUGGGGGGAGGGUGGGGAGGUACUAUCUGGGGAUACACCAUCUUCUGCAACCGAGAACAAUACCACUACUGCUACUUGUGGCUCUCAGGCUUUUUUAGGGAUACACCGGUCUCCAGGCAGAGACCAACCCUCAAAGGAGGCCAAUGCCACCAUCGAUCCCGUCAAGACCCGUGCACAGAAGCUCAAGAAAUUGACGCAGCCCAAGCUCCGCUUCAAGAAGAAGUAACCAAAGAAUAGACGUGACAAGUGUGGAACGGUGGCUAAAGUGGACGACCCCUGAAUAUGAAUCCAAGAUUUCUAUGAAAACAUUUUUAUUAUUGUUCAAAAGCCGUGUAGUAUAACUUUUCCUUUUUUCUUGUCCUUUUCUUUUGUCCGUGGUCAUGUGUUGAGCCAAUGAAGUGGAGACACCUGUAUUUGAUAAUAUUAUAGAAGCCUCAAGGGGCCUUUUUUAAAAUAAAAACUUAUUAUAUUUAUCAUGAUUCGGGAUCCUUGCAGUGUAUUUGACUCAUGUAUGUGGGACAAUAAUAUUUGUACAACAUAUGGCCCAUAUACCUGUGGACCCCCAUUUUUGGGGGGAGAGAGACACAUAGAUGUCGGACCCCAAAUCCAGUCGCCGCCUGUGCCCCCCCCUUUGGUGGUACCCAGUUCGGUUGGGCUACCCUGUGUGGGCCCACU